UGUCACGUACUUUUUAUUGGAAGGAGCAGCGGGUUGGACGUGUUGUUUGAGUUCCAAAUAGUUAAUAAAUAAUUGUUGUUUUUUUUGUAGUUUUUAAGAUUUAAAGAGAGUAGUUCGUUAGAAAAGGCUAUCCCUGCCAGGUUUUACUUUUUUUAAAACUCAGAAGAAGGCAUCUUUGACUUGUUCUUCAGCGAAGAGAAACGAAACCCGCCAAGUCACUCAUCCGGAAUUGACAUUUUUUAAUAGUUUUUUUCGGUCGGAUAUGUGUUUAGAAACAAUGGACACCAACUCGAAACGCAUAAAAACCGACUGUCUGAGGAAAACCAUGAAAGCUGGAUCGAAGUUGAGGUGGAGACUGCUCCAUGUCUCCGCAGAGGAGGACGAGGCCUUCAAACAUUUUCGAGCCAGCGCGAUGAGGGCGACCAUCCGAAAAUACCUCCGCCGGCAACAGAGGCGGCCACAGCUGGCUAAAUUCACCAGAAUCAUUGGAGACGUGGACGAGAAAGAGAAAAGGGAUUGCGAGUACGAGGAAAGUCCCACCGCGGCCUGUGUUCACCCUCACCAACCGGGAGCAAUGGCGCCGGAAAACACCACGCAGUACCUGAUGGGUCAUGUGUAUGAAGAUAUGAAGAUGAACAAAGUCCAGACGGUUCCAGUUUCACAUGAAACAUCUGCACUUCUGUAUGCGGGGUCUCUUUCACCCAGUAGUGUGUACACUGCUCUGGACUCUGGUUAUGAGAGCUGCCUUGCCUUCCAGCAGAGGGACUUUGAUGAAGUGUUUGGCUUGUAUUGGUAACCGGAAGAAACUGGUUGGUCUACGUGGCCUUGUGAAACUGGUUUGGCGUCCUUUCCAGCACUGACUUUCUAUUACGGACAAAUAAAAAGCGGCGCACUGGACGGUGCCCGCCCAGAAGGCAGCGCUCCUGAGCCCUGCCCUGCGCCGCACAGAGGAACGAAUCAAACGCACGCACCUCGGCUCUGGCCUGGCCACGGAUUGUGAACCCAGGUAAACCCGGGCAGGUAUUGUGUUGUACUGCAUUGUCGUUGAUGACAAUAGUAGUAGAUUGUGAUGCGAUGUUGGACCCAUCAACAGUCACUGUUGUCUGAGCGUUUUCCAGGUCACCCCUGCCAGGACAAAAGGCUCUGCUGUGAGAGGAGCAGGAGGCAAGGAGGUCAGUCUUCACGUGACUGACACAAGGUGACAUUAUUGCCCAUUGGUUAUCUUGACUGUUUCCAGGAAGAUUGAAGUUGAAAUAAGUCUAUUGGUAAUCCUGGCCAAAUAUUUGUACCAGUGUUAAAAUUAGUGUGAACUUCUAUUUAUAUACUGUAAGAUUACGAGGUGUGUUAGUUGAAGGAUAACUUUGUUCAAUAAAAGUGCUUUAUCAUA